rnacentral:tRNA from 1 species
GGCCAGUUAGCUCAGUGGUUUGAGCACGCUGCUGCCAACAAUGACAACACCAAGGUCACAGGUUCGAUUCCUGCUUGGUCC